GUCCCGCUCUGUGGCCCAGGCUGGAGUGCAGUGGCCUGAUCUUGGCUCACUGCAAACUCCACCUCCUGGGUUCAAGCAAUUCUCUUGCCUCAGCCUCCCAUGUAUCUGGGAUUACAGGAGUGCACCACCACACCUGGCUAAUUUUUGUUAUUUUUAGUAGAGACAGAGUUUCACCAUGUUGGCUAGGCUGAUCUCAAACUCCUGACCUCAGGUGAUCUGCCUGCCUUGGCUUCCCAAAGUGCUGGGAUUAUAGGCAUGAGCCACUGUAUCCGGCUGCAAGCUGAGCUUUGAAAUACUGUUUCCAUUUCCACUGUUGAAUCUCUUUUAUCACCAUCAAAAGAGAUUUCAGAGCUAGUCACUGGUUCCGGGAGAAGAAAGAAUGACACAUAGAACGUAACUCAGGUGCUCUAAUGGUCCCAGUUGACACCAACCUAGAUCAGUUGACAGCCAGCCAACUCCUAGACCUUCAUGUGAGCCCAGCCAAGAUCACCAAAGCUACCUACUCGACCACACAGAUACAUGGACACUUAGUGCUUAUGCCAUUGAGCUCGUUAUGCACCAUUGUUUUGGUAAUAGAUACAGUGGGAAACUCAGUAAUAACUAUUACUAUUACAAUAGUAAUAACGAUUGGAUUCAAAUCCUGCCAGGGCAUGGGUUGGUUAGUGCUACAUGCAUUGCCUGUUACAUCAACUACUUUUGGAAUGACUGAAUGGUCUUAUAAGGAUAAAUUAUGUAACUCUUUUGCACCUGAUUUCUCUAUUCAGAACACCUCUAGUAGGCUGCAAUCACUGCCACUCACUUGAAAUUCUUUAAGAGUGGAAAUGCCAUUUGCUGGACAUUCAGAGAGAGAGACGUGAAGUAGCUAGGUUCUUAGUUUUACGUGAGAUGUCGAAUGAUCUACGGAGUAAUUUGGGUCCCUGGCUUCAAGGCAAGCCUGUUACAUUCUUCAAGGAGAAAACAGCUUGACAUCAGUAUCAAUUUGAGAACACAGCAUGAGUGAACAAAAGAAACAGCAGUUCCCAUAUUUUGGGCAUUUGCUGUACGCCAGGCACUUCUUAUCUAUUCUGCGUGGAGGAAUUGCUCUCCUGAUUUUUAAAGGGGACAAAACAGCUCAGAGACAUCAAAUAGAUGAUCAGAGAGCACACAGCUAAGGAGGUAACAGCUCAAACUUCUAGAUCCAGAGCUACCUCACAGCAAAGGACAGCCUCUUACACCCCACCGCCGUCUGCAGAGCCCACAGCAGGCAUCCAGGUAAAGCUCCUCAGUUUAUCAGUGAAGGAAUCGCACCUGUGAAUGGAAGUGGCCUGCCCAAGGCUACACGGCAGUGAGUGUAACCAGAUUACCUGAUACCCCUUCCAGGGCCCUUGGUGUGACUUAUUGAGAUCUCAUGGGCCAGUGGGUGCCACUGAAAUUCCUGGAUAAAAGUUGCUUGUGGAGGGCUGGCAUAGCGGCUCAUGCCUGUAAUCCCAGCACUUUGGGGAGCAAUUUGGGAGGCCAAGGCAGGUGGAUGGUUUGAGCCCAGGAAUUCCAGAUCAGCCUGGGCAACAUGGUGAGACACCGUUUCUACAAAAAAAAAAAAACGGAAAUUAGCCUAGUAUGGUGGUGCAUGCCUGUAGUGCCAGCUGCUCAGGAGGCUAAGGUGGGAGGAUCACCUGAGCCCAGGAAGGUCCAGGCUGCAGCAAGCCAUGAUUGUGUCACUGCACUCCAGCCUGGGUGACAGAGUAAGACCCUGUCUCAAAAAAAAAAAAAAAGUUUCCCAUGGAGACAUUAUCAGUUUCUAGGCCUCCACGUGAGCACCUUAAAAGAAGCACUAUAGUUUAACAACAACAACAAAAGACACACCAGGGAACACCUGAGCUGCUCCUGUGCGCCUGUGCUGUCUUCAGGGAAGCAAUUCAGCAUCAUGAGGAGGAUGCCUUUUGGGAAGAGGCCCGAGGGCUGGCUAGCUGCAGGUGUGCCAUCUCUAAUCAAUUCAUUCAUUCAUUCAUUUAUUUUUAUAGAGGUGGGGUCUCACUAUGUUGACCAGGCUGAUCUUAAACUCCUGGCCUCAAGUGAUCCCAUCUUGGCCUCUCAAAGUGUUGGGAUUACAGGCGUGAGCCACUGUGCCCAGCCCCAGACAUGCCAUUUCUAGACAACACCUCCAAGGAUCUGAGGAGAGAAGCCCCUCGUGCUGGCUGCCCUGGCAUCUACCUAUCCCUUCGUUCUGCCUGCCAGCUCAGAGAGUGGGAGCGGUGCCAGGGAGCUGUUUGGGCUGGCGCUGGCCAGGCAGGAGCCCUACUUGGCUAGCAGCCCCAGGCACCUGCCACACUUGCGUAUUUGCUCAGCGGUUCGGGGUACGGAAGCAGGAUGCCUUCCGUCAUUGCACCCUGGGUGUUCCGGGCCUCGGGGGCCAGCUGCUGGGCUGGCAGCUUCUCUGAGGAGCUGUUUCUUGCCCUCUUUGUACCCCUGUCUCUCAACUACCUGUCAGGCAGGUAAUAAUCCCACCAUCACCUAAUGUACCCAGAGGAGAAGGCAGGAGGCCUGGCAAUGUGCACAGAACAAACACUGGCAAGGUGCCUGAGAGCCCUGCACCAGGCACCUUCAGCCCUCAGGGUAGAGAGUCUCCUGUCCAGCUCACCCCAGGCACCCUUCUCCAAAUGCCCAGUCUCGCACCAUUCCCAGACCAUUUGGGCCACAUCUGAAAGAAUUUGCCAUACUGCCUGCCUUUGAUUAGAUGUUAGGGAAGAUUUAAAUUCGUGCAGAAUCUCAAUACAGCUCCCUUCCUGUUGGAACCAUGUGAGAGACUAUUUCCAAGGCUGUUUCUUACAAGAGGAUCUGCCUUACUAAGUCAGAGCAUUGCAAUAAUUAACGUGUUGAAAGCUUCCUGAUUUCCAAAGCAUUUUCACAUACAUUAGCUCACUUAAGGUCUCCCAAACCCUGUGAAUGGAGCAUUCUUUUUAGCCCCAUUUUACAGGUGAGUCAACUGAGGCCAAGAGAGCUUGAGUAGCUCCUCCAGUGCCUUAAUGUAGAAUAAGUAUCAGAGCAGAGACUGGAGCCCAGACCUUCCGUAUGAAAAUCCAGCCUCCUUUUUUUUUUUCUUUUGAGACAGACUCUUGCUCUGUUGUCCAGGCUGGAGUGCAAUGUCGUGAUCUCAGCUCACUGCAACCUCCGCCUCCAGGGUUCAAGUGAUUCUCCUGCCAGAGUAGCUGGGAUUACAGGUGUGCACCACCACACCCAGCUAAUUUUUGCAAUUUUAGUAGAGAUGAGGUUUCACCAUGUUGGCCAGGCUGGUCUCAAACUCCUGACCUCAAGUGAUCCACCUGCCUCAGCCUCCCAAAGUGCUGGGAUUACAGGCAUGAGCCACCGCGCCCAGUCCCAGCCUUCUUUCUGAUUCACUCUUGUUUUGUAGUUGUGGACAUUUAAGAAGACUUUUUAUUUUUUUAUUUGUAUUUUUUUUUUUAUUCAAAGGGCUUGUGCUCAAAUAAAGUGAGAGUAGGGAGAGAGAAAUUCAUGUUUCUCUGCUCUGUUUUUUGUUUGGGCUCUCAUUUAAUCUCUCUGACAACCUUUUGCAGCAGGUGUUAUUCUCAUCCAUAUUUACACCCGAGGAAGCUGAGGCUCACAGAGAAGAAAUAUCUUUCCCCGAGCCCCGCAUCGAGCCGUGGGUAGAAAAUGAGCCCAGAUCCCUCUGUCUCCAUCUCUGCAACCUGUCUCUCUGCAUGCCACAUUGGCUUACGACCGAGAUCAGCUGCUCCAGGGCAGGCUGGAGGGUGAGGAGGCUGGCUAGACCCCUGGGAGGGCAGGCAGCACCCAGAGCUGUUCCAGCUCUGCUGAUCCUGUUCGAGAGGCCAGAAAAGUUCAAAUAUUGGCGUUCUCCUUAUAGUCUCCCACCUACCCUCCCUCUGGAAGCACAGAACUGUAGUGUGCAAAGAAAGACCUUGUGGAUCCUCUGCUCUUGCCCUCUCAUUUACCAAAUGAGAAGACGCUCUCUGGGGAACGUGACCGGCUUCAUUCCAUAGAAGAGAUGGCAGAGUCUGGAGCAGAAUCUGGGACCCCUGACUCCCAGGCCUGUGCACUGAGGCGUUCUUGUCUGCCAUCUCCCAGCCCCUCUCUUUGCCUUCCUUGAUCUUCUUGAGUUCUCUAAUGGGUCAUCUGUUGUGACCGUUGAUUACAAGACACCAUGCAUGGUUCCCCUGCUUCCAUUUAUGUGUGGAUCUCCCUCUGUUCUUACAUAAGAAUCUCAGAGACGGGUCAGGUUGUGACCUUCUCUUUGGUGCUGGCUUGAAGUUGAGGAAAAAGCCAGGCUCUGAGUCGCUUGGAUCUGGGUCCCAACCCUGCCUGUGUGGCUCUGAAGUCAAGUGACUCCUCCUCCCCCUGUUGUAUUCCCCGGCAGCACUAACAGUGGCUCCCCUUAGCUGGACACCUAGAGUGCCAGGCUCUGUGCUCAGGACUUCACUGUUUGAGGUCCCUGGAGAGUGGAACCUCUCAUCCACAAGGUGGUGAUUCCCUUGGGAGUGGGCAGGAUGCAGUCAGAAGGGAACUUGGGUGGGGACAGGCAUCCUAUAUCCUGGGUUUACCCACUCCUACCCAUGCACUGAUGGGCUUGACUGCCUGGCCAACACUUACUGAGCAUAUAGUGAAUGACGGGCACUGAGGCUCAGGGGAUGAAGCCAUAGGCUUUGAGUCCCAGAGUCAGUGAUGGAAUCACCAGGGAGCCCAGGCAUUGUGUCUAUGCUCUGUGCCAUGUGACAAGUCUCUGCCUUCUCUUCAUCCUGAAGAGACCCUGGGUUCUUACCUCCUUGGGCUGUGGCACCAUGCAAGGUGGCCAAGGUAGGGGCCCUGGUGUUCUGGCCCCCAGCUAGGUUCUCAGCACUACUGAGUGCUGGCUCAUGGUGAGUGUUCAGCCACUGUUGGAUGAAUGGAGAAAUGACUCAAUGAAUUUCCCAGAAUGCACAGAUACUGCACCUAAUCCCUUGGAGUUUAACCAGCACAAGAGUUUGCACUUUGCUGGCCAUCUCCUGCCAAGGCACAGCCUUCCCUGAGCCUGUUUCCCUUGUAUGUGGGUCAUACCUGAGGCCCCCAGCUGGCAUUUGGUCCCCUCCUGCAGGCGUAGGCUGCCCAGUGCCAAGUGCACCUUGCAUCUCUCCCCAGCCCUCCCACUGCUGUCUCCCGCUUCCUGCCCUCCGUCCCGCCACGGGCUCCCGCCAAACCAGCCCACACGGCCUCCUUUUGUUCAGCCACCUCAGUUUCAGGCCAACCAGUCCAGCCAGGUCCCCCAGCCUGCAUUGCACACUCCUUUGAAGCUUUGACAGGCAGCCAACCAAGCUGGCCCGAGCGCGCAAGGCAGGGUGCUGGUGCCGGCGCGCUGGCAGCUGCUUCCCGCCUUUCUGGCUCCUGGGACCUGGCUGCUCCCAGGCCCAUUCAUAUGGGGACAGAAAUGCCUGGACGUUCUCCUCGGCUGGCAUGGGUAUUGCGUCCAGGGCCGCAGGCUGGGGCUGUUCCCACAGCCCAGAGUCCUUUCCCAGGCUCCCUGUUCUCCAUAGUGAAGCCCUCUGGUUUGUCCCAGGCAGUGCAUCCCACAGCCUCUGUCUCCACAAAGGAGAACUGGCAGCAGGAAUAGCCUGGCUGGGUUCUGAGCUCUCUGAGGAGAGGCAGGACUGGGCAAAGGGUAGGAGCACUGGCUUUGGCUUCAGAUGAGUGUCGAGCGCCUCACUCUGCCAUCUCUAGCUAGGGACCUAUCUGCUUCAUGCCUCAGUUUUCUCUUCUGUAAGUGGGGAGCAUAGAGCACCCAGUUCACCGGCACAGUGAAGGGUGAUGAAUACUGUAGGUUAGCACAUUGCAAGCUAAGUCUUCAACAGGAGUUGUGGGGAGCACUGUUAAUAUGUGGGGGAUCAUCAUUCUAGUAGCUGAGGAGCAUCGGAGCCUAAAAGACUCGUGUGAAAGAGGGGUCUCCUGUUCCUAUUUUUAAAUUUUUAAAUGUUAUUUAUUAUUAUUAUUUUGGGGACAGGGUCUUGCUCUGUCACCCAGGCUGGAAUGCAGUGAUGUGACCUCAGCUCACUGCAACCUUGACCUCCUGGGCUCAAGCAAUCCUCCCACCUCAGCCUCCCAAGUAGUUGGGACUACAGGCACAUACCACUGCACCUGGCUAAUUUUUUUAUUUUUUAUAGAGAUGGGGUCUUACUAUGUUGCCCAGGCUGGCCUCAAACUCCUGGACUCAGGUAAUCCUCCCACCUUAGCCUCCCAAGCAGCUCUUGGGACUACAGCACCACCACCAUGGCUGGCUAAUUUUUUAUUUGAUUUUAUUUUUUGUAGAGUGCAGUGGCUCUAUCACUGCUUACUGCAGCCUUGGCUUCCCAAGCUCAAGCAAUCCUCCUACCUCAGCCUUCCAAGUAGCUGGGACCACAGGUGCACACCACCACCCUCAGUUAAUUUUUUGACUUUUUUUUGCAGGAAACGAGGUCUCACUAUGUUGCCCAGGCUGGUCUCGAACUCCUGGGCUCAAGCAACAUGCCUACCUCAUCCUCCCAAUGUGCUGGGAUUACAGGUGUGAGCCAUUGUGCCUGGCCUCCUAUUUUCUAAAUUUCAAAAGUAGUACAUGCUGACUGCACAAUUUAAAAAAUUUAGAUAAGUGAAAGAAAACUUAAAAAAUACUUGUUGUGGUCGGGUGCGGUGGCUCACGCCUCUAAUCCCAGCACUUUGGGAGGCCAAGACAGGUGGAUCGUGAGGUUAGGAGUUCAAGACCAGCCUGACCAACAUGGUGAAACCCCGUCUUUACUAAAAAUACAAAAAUUAGCUGAGUGUGGUGGCGCUAACCUGUAGUCCCAGCUACUCGGGAGGCUGAGGCAGGAGAAUCACUUGAACCCAGGAGGUGGAGGUUGCAGUGAGCCGAGAUCGCACCACUGCACUCCAGCCUGGGCAACAGAGGGAGACUCUGUCUCAAAAACAAGCAAACAAAAAAACACUUGUUGCUGGGUGCUGUGGCUUGCGCCUCUAAUCCCAGCACUUUGGGAGGUUGAGAUGGGAGGAUUGCUUGAGCCCAGCAGCUUGAGACCAGCCUGAGCAACAGAGUGACAUCUUGUCUUUAUAAAAUUUUUUUUUAAAAAAUUAGCUGGACAUGGUGGUGGGCACCUGCAGUUUCAGCUACUUGGUGGCUGAAGAGGAAGGAUCACUUGAGCCUGGGAGUUAGAGGCUGCAGUGAGUUGUGACUGUGUCAGUGCACUCCAGCUUGGGUGACAGAAUGAGAUGCCAUCUUAAGAAAAAGAAAAAUUAAAAAAACCUUCUUUUCCUACCAACAUAUAUACUCAUGUGUGCACAUGUACACACACAUAUGCAUACCCCUACACACACUAGAAUUGCUAGUUUAUAACCAUGUGUAAUAAUAGUUUAUAUGGACAUAACAGUGCAUGCCUAUUAUAUUAUGUACAUAUAUAAUGCAUUUUAUAUACUUUUCAUAUAUAUUUCAUUUCAUAUUAAAUUCUUGCAUAUACAUAUAUUUGAAAAAGUAAAGAAUAGGUUCCUCUUGUUUUGUAACCAGCUUUUGUCAUUUAAUGUAAGUUGAAUUUUUUUUCUGUUAGGGAAUUUUUCUGCAGGAAAAUAUUUUAAGGCCACCUGGUAUGUUAUAAUACAAACAUGUUAUAUCCAUUUGACAGUUGAGGACCUGGAAGUGCUGAGAUGCAACAUAAGUUCCCCAAAAUUACGCUACUUGAGGCACAGCUGACAUCCAGAAGCUUCUCUGGGAAGGCUUUUGGAGUUCCCCAAGGCAGAGUCAAGAAGAACAUAAGUUUCUUAAGAACAGGGACUGUGUGCCUCACUUACUGUCAUCUCCCCAGCAUCUGCCGCAAAGUGGACAUUCUGUUAAUAGUUACUGAGUGAAUAGACACAGGAAGUUCAGUCUUCUUUUUUAUCUCAUUUCUUGCUCAAAGCUCAUCUCAGCAUUGAACAUGUCUUUCCACAUGGCCCCCUCACUAGCUUCUUCUGUACCCCUCAAGUCCAGGACCGUGUCAGAUUGUCUUUGAAUCCCUCAGCCCCAGUCCCAGGCCUGCCCUAGAGCAGGUGUUCAGUAAAUGACUAUCGAAUUGUGGAAACAGGGAUCUCUCCAUUCUGGAUUCAAGACAGCGCCCUCCCUAUGAAGCUUUUCUGAGCUCUUUCACACCAAAGUUCUCCCAGCCAUCGUGUUGACAGCUAUCUGCCUGCUGCCCUCAGUCCAGGAACAACUUGGACAUCAGCUCUGCCUGUCACACUGGGGUUGGUGCACCUGGCCUGUUCCGGGACAGAUCGCAAGGCUGAGGGUUAAAUAACACCUGGAGUGGUUAGGAGGCUGGGCACCUCCUUCUUGUGAAUCUCCCGGGCUGCGUGGCGGGUGGCGGGUGGCUGGCAGGGGAGGGACCCUUGGCACUGCUGUGGCUUUAUAUUUGCUGCCAGCGGGGCCUUUGAUGCCCCAGGGGCUGCUCGCCCAGCCAAGGGCAUUGUAGAACACAAAAGCUGCAGAAAGCAGCACAAAUAAAGUGAAAACGACCCAGGAAACUGCCAGGGAGCUUAUCAGCCUGUUUCCUGAUCAUAGGUAUGGGGUGUAGGGAGGCACGGGGAGCAUUUCUGGGCCGUGUGAUUGCCCGCACAUUGCCAGGGCCCCUGGUAUUGCGUACAAAACAUUAACCUGGAAGCUAAGCAAGGCUCUUCACCUUGUAAAACUGACUGGAUGAGUCCAAACUCUUAGAGUUUUUGUGAGGACUAGACAGGUUGAUAAGUUAAAGUGCCUACUCUGUGUGUGUGCAUCUGAUAAUGAUAACAGUGACAGUAGUAAUAACGGUAGCAGCUAAUACUUUCUGAGCAUUUCAUAUAUGCCAAACACUAUUUUAACUGAUUUUUAUAUUAAUUCAUUUAAUCUUCAUAAUGACACUAAGAGGUAGGUAGUACUAUUAUCUUCAUUUUAUAAAUGAGAAAAUCGAAGCUCAGAGAUGUUAAGUAACUUUCUUAAGAUCUCACAGCACAUGAGAAGACAAUCCGGCGUUUGAACCUGGCACUCUGGUUGUGAAACACUGGUCUAUAGCCACCUUGCUCCCCAUUUCUUCCCCCUAGCCUUUGGAAUAUUGUGUUCCCCUAAUUAUUAUGAUAGGACAACCAUGUCAUGAUGAUGAUGAUGAUGAUGACGACGAUGACAGCGAUGGUGCUGGUGAAGGAGGAAGACAUCCCUUCAUUUUGUGUAGCAAUCUGCUUCUUGCUGGGAUUUCAAAUCCAUUUUCAUUGUUGAUCCUGAGAACAAGCCUUGGAGGCAGAGUCAUUUUGAAAUCCCAGGAAACCGGGCCUUAAGAGAUGGCUGAAGACCCGAGCAGUCAUUCGGUGCAGUCUGUGAGGCCCAGAGCUGAGGAGGAGGACAUGGGUGUAGAAACGGUCGCAGCCCACACUGCUGUGCCUACAGCUCUGGAUCCUGACUGUGUGAGUGGGCCCAGGGCUGCUGGAACCUGUGGAGCUAUAGCAAGAAGGGUGAGGAGGUUGCCCCGCUCCUGCUUCCUUCAUGAACAUUCGUUGUUCCCUCAGGACAGGAAACUUAAGCUGUUCCGUUGACCUCUCCAGACAGCUUAGUGAUGAUCUCAAGCCCUCUGAUGAGAUGGUGGAUCACAGCUACCAUGAGUUAAGACCUUCAUUUAUUUCAUUUCAUCUCAUCAGUAGCCCUGGGAGAUGCAUAUUAUAUUUCCAUCAUGGUGUACCAUAAUUGCGUCAAUUAAUUUUUGCCACGGCAAUGCCAAGUAACAACUGCAGAAUCUCAGUGGCUUUCAAUAUUAAGCAUUUAUUAUCUACAUAUCUGGGGAGAUUGGCCAAGCAGCCCUGCUGAUCUUGGCUGGACUGCCUCCAUGUCUAGGGCGUGGCUGCCUGGUGGCUGAUGUGAUUUUGCUGGAGUGGCUGGGGUGUCUCCACUCUGCCCUCUGUGUCUUUCGUCUCCUUCUGAAACCAGCAGACUAGCUGGGGGAAUGUCCUUCUUAUGGUGAAAAGCACAGAGCAAGACAAGACCACUCCUAGAAAGAAGAGGAGACUAACAGGCACCUAGCAGUGACUGAAUACCCAACAAUCCACUUAAGGAGAUCAAUGUUUGUUUGCAUUCCUGAGGCCAUGUCAGCAACAGGCUUGGAAAGGGAAGUGGGGGACAGCCUUGAAGCAUCUGGCCUGUAAGUACAGUCCAUUUGGAGGGAGGAUCUCAAUGCAUUUUUUAGCGUAAAUACACGCUAGGCUAGCUGUGCCCACAGACAGAGGGGGUACCCAACCCUCCCACGUUCUCUGCCCUUGCUGAGAAGCCUGGGUUCUGAACCCCAGGCCUCCGUGGGACACAGAGCUUCUCAGGAGCACACGAAGCUCAGUCUCUGCCCCUGCCUUCCAGGUAAACACAAAUGCUGCUGGCGUUGGUGGCUUAGAGCCCAGCAGCACAUUUAGUUCAGUGCCUUUCCUGGGCUUGGUGGGCGGGUGAGGGUGCAAAGUCACCCUUGAUGAAGAACCGCUGGUGUAGACUAGUGGUUUCCAACCUUUGCUAUACCAGAAAUCCCUUUUACUGGUUCUCCUUCCCUGUGAGGGAGUUUAUCAACCAAAUAAACUUCAUUGUUAAGUAUUUAUUCCUCUACUUUCUUAUCUAAAAAUAUCUGCCAGUGGGAGUUCCUGAUCUGGGUCACCAGGCUGAGUUGAUAUAAUUCUGGCCAGUAUCGAAGAAAGAAGCUUGAUAUUUUAGGUGACAACUGUGGUCUUGUUGGAGAGGAAGGUGAAAUUUCUGGUAGACUUCUUGACCCUUCGAAAAAUAGACUGAGGACCCGCGUGGAGGAGUCCUGAGAUUGGAAUCACUGGUAUAAACUUUUAUUUUGCUGUUUGGAAUUAAGAAUUUGGAUCAAAUGUUGAUGGAAGGUUUCUUUGAGCUCCACAUUUCCCUGGGAGCCUCCAUCCUGUCUUGUUCCCUUUUAGCAUGAGCAGUGUCAUUAUUCAGCAUGUAUUUAUUCAGUGAUUGCCACAUGCCUGGCACUUCCCUGGGUGUGAGGUUGCCGCGGUGAACAGCAGAUGCAGACAUGGUACUAAUGGGGUCUGUAGCCAAGUGAGGGAGGCUAAGAAAGAAAGAAUGUCAUUUCCAGCAGUGAUAAGUCCUAAGAGGGAGGUGCGGCACAUGAAUGGGCUUGAGGGUGCUGGUCUCUGGAGUAACAAGCCUCUGUAAAUAAUCAAGUCACCCAUUUCCCAGCCCUGCCCUGAAGCACAGUCUUCACUUGGCCUGUUUAGGAUCAUUUCACAGAUUCAUUGACAGGGCCCAGUUCCUGCUAGUUGACUCCUUGGGGACAGAAUCCUCUAUUGCUUGCAAAAAUAUGCUCUGCAGUAGGCUGUGUCUUGCUAAUUGAGAGGGAUUCUGAGAAGUGGAGCAGCCCUGCCUCACUAGAUUCAGUAAGAGGAGGCCUUAUAGGUACGUUGAAUCUGGCCUGGUGGACAAAGCACCCUGCUGAGAGCUGGGCAGGUCUUCGGAAGGAGAUUUAAUGUUCUUCAGUUGGAAAGAUGGUAAUUCCUCUCUCCCUCUCCAGAUGUCUGCAACCAAGUCAUCAGAACACAGAAGGGACCUUGCAGCCAUUGUGUCUUUGUGCUUAGUGUCUUCAGUGGAUGGCCAACCUCUCAUGAACAGGAUGUCCUCUUGUCUGAGGUUCUACUUUGUUCCAGCCAUGGAGUCAUACUCUCUUUAUCUUUUGACUAUCCAAAGGUGUUCUGUUGGACGACUGAUUCCUCCAAGGUACUUUGGGCUCCAAAGUGUGCAGUUGACAUUUGCUGUGCCUUCUCCACCAGGCUUUAGUUUUUGAUGAAUGCUGAGCUUCAGUGGAGAUUUGCUAGCCUUGGGCUUUCUGUGUUCUUGAAUCCCUCAGAGUCCAGAAGAAAAGGAAAGCUGACACUUUCUAGGAAUGACCUGUGAGAAGAGAGGUUGGUGUCUUGCUGCUAAGUUCAGCUUGGUUCUGAACUAAGUCACCAUGGGCCAGAGGAGGCAGGGAUAAGAGGAGUGGUUUCUUGGCCACCAGAAGGGAAACGUUUUUGUUUUCUUGUGUGCUUUUGUGGAAAUGGUGGCAGUUGCUCACUGAAGAGAACUAAAACCCUUUUACUAGAGCCCCACCAGGUCUGAAGAGGAUGGGCGCAUGGGAGCCAUUAUCUUGUAAAGGACGCUAUUGAGACCUUGCUACUGCUGCAGUGAAGAGCACAGGAAAAGCCAAGCUUAAAAAACACUGGGUGAAUCCUAAGAAUUUUUCAUGCAGAAACACAUGCAUGAUGAGAAUAGAAUCUUCAUUACAACAUUGUUUGACACAGAAAAAUGAGACUCAGCUUCAAUGCUCAUUAGUUAGUGAUUGGUUGAUUAAAUUGUGAUAAAAUGGAACACUAAUACAGCUGUUUUAAAAAUUAGUAAAAAAAAUCAGUAUGUGAGAUGAUGCACCUGUUAAUUAACUCAACUUAGCCAUUCCACAAUGUAUACAUAAUUCAAAACUUCACAUCAUAUAUUAUAAAUAUAUACAAUUUUUAUUUGUGAAUUAAAAAUUAAUCUAAAAAAAUUAGUGGCUAUAUGAAGUAAUUGGGAACAAUCUUGAAGCUAUAUUAACUACCAAAGAGCAAAGUCAACCUUAACAAUGCUGACUUUUUAAAGAAUAGUGCCUAGAACAGUGUGUGGAGUAUGCUAACAGCUACACACUAAUGCACAGCCGCCAACCCCAGAUCAGUUACGUGAACUUCUGCAUUCACAAACACACUUAACACACUCUGUGGCUAUUGCCUCUUUACUGACCUGUAAGUCAGUUCUAGAAGACAGACGAUCCAUGAAGGCAGGUCCUAGCCUGCCCAUUUGCAUUGGUAUCUCCAAGGCCAAGCUAGAGAAGGCACACAAUAGGCUUUCCACUAAUAUUUGUGAAUGAAUGAAUGAACAGAGAGGAGUUUUCUUUCCACAAUUUCGUGCUACCUGCUUGAGCAUGUGAGGCUGGAAUCUAAGCCCUGAGGUCACUCACUGCUCUCCUGGGUACUGUCCCUGGCCUCCCGUCCUUUUCCUUGAGCUGUGCUCUGCAAGGCUUUCUCAUUAUCCUCUAGGCUACAGAGAAACAAGGAGAGGGGAGAGCCUUGAAAUGGACCUUCAAGAUUACAACGUGUAGCUGACAUUGUCAGUUAAGUUGGGCAGAUCUGACUUCGCUGAUUAAGUGAAUGUAUGAGCCGAUCCUCCCCAGAAGCUGGGAUCAGCCUCCCCAUCUGAUGAGCCAGUCUUGGUGCUCUGUGUUCAUCUGGUUCAUCUGAGGAGCUGCAUCUACCCUGCCCAUGCCAUAGAUCCUGCCCUGUCUGCUUCUCCUGUUGCUGCUAGUGGACAUGAGUCACCGCGAGGCUCAGGAAAACAGAAUUUCAGAAUCUUCUGGAAGAGAUGUUUCCUUUCUUAACCAGGCUAAAUGGACUGGAGGCAGGCACCGCUGGUGUUUUUAGAAGGUCACCCGAUAUAGAAUCACACACCUGGGAGAUGGCACCAGCCAGUGAGGCUCAAAUUUGAACCACACACAAAUCUCCAGGGGUACUUGAAGACAGUGAUGCACUGUAUUCAAGUGAUAGCCCCAGCAGUAACAUUGAUGCAGAGAAAAUGGAAUACUUUUUCCAAGAGACCAGAAGACACAUGAAGCUAGAAAAAGGAGCCCAGAAAACUGCCACAUUUUACCCAUAUAGAAAAGCAUAUCCCGACCGGGCACAGUGGCUCACGCCUGUAAUCCCAGGACUUUGGAAGCCCAAGAUGGGCGGAUCACAAGGUCAGGAGUUCGAGACCAGCCUGGCCAAUAUGGUGAUACCCUCUCUCUACUAAAAAUAAAAAAAUAAAAAUAAAAAAAAAUUAGUGGGGUGUGGUGGUGCAUGCCUGUAAUCCCAGCUACUCAGGAGGCUGAGACAGGAGAAUUGCUUGAACCCGGGAGGCGGAGGUUGCAGUGAGCCGAGAUCAUGCCACAGCACUCCAGCCUGAGUGACAGAGUGAGACUGUCUCAAAAAAAAAAAAAAAAAAAUAAGGGGGGGCUCCUUCCCGCUCAUUUCUCCCAUAACACGUAAUGCUUUUUAUAGUGAUUUGGUCACUGCUGAGCUAUCUUCAUUUAAUGUGUUUUUGACAGAAUAGUUGGUCAGGAAAUUUUAUUUUCAAUUAAAAUAACUUGUUGAACUGCCUCGGUUUUGAAAGGAUUCCGUUAGGAUGGCUAAUUAUAUAGCAGUUGCUACAAGGAGAUAUUUGCACUCAAUUUCAGCUCUUAGGUAAUUCAAAUCAAAUGCUUGAGAUUUUCCUCCCUGGAGCUGUGUGCAACCAUCUUCCUCUCACACUGCAGGCUUCCCAUGAGUUAUUUUUAGAAACCCAAAUUUAAGCAGCAAUUUUGGCAGAGCCAUUUCUAGUCUAGUGGAGUAAACCAUAUGUACUGAUAAAUGCAGCCAAAGAGUUAGUUUCUUUAAAAAGUAACAAAACCAUCUCUCUCCGUUCAUGGGGGUUAUAUGUUUACAAACUGCAGACUAUCCGUUGUACUAUUAUAUUCAUUUGUGAACUCUAGCUGAAGUGAGAGAUCAUGGAUAUUACUUUAAAAUUACAAAAGAUGUGUCCUUUUGCAAACUGUUGUCAUAAUACUCUUUUUUUUUCAAGAUGGCAGGCCUUGGCAGAAUUGACUGGAGACUCUGUUUUGGCCUUUGGAUUUCCCGUGAAACAUGGAGAUCCCUUUCUUUAUUUUCCUACUCUGCUCUGAUUUCUUCAUUCACCAGAGCGCUUGUAAUAUAUCUCAUCAUGCUUAUAAGCAGGAAACCUCCUCCUUCUAUGUUAGAACAUAUUCUUGUGGUCAGGGGCUGGAUUUUUUUACCUUCUUCAUGCCUGGCACAUAAUAGAUGCUCAAAUAGUGCAUGAAUAGAUCGAUGAAUCAUUAAAAUUAUAUUUCUAUUUUCUCCUUUUUUUAAAAAAAUCUUUUAUUACGUAAAUAUUAAGUGAUUGCAUUCAUUUCGGAAAAAUUAAAAACUUUCCACAAAAGGCCAAAGUCCUUUUAGCUCACCUAUCCUCAAUCCUUGUCUCCUCAUUAGUUCUGUGUAGGUCACGUUUGUUGUCUUUUAGAGCACAUUCCUGCAGACCAUUCUAAUUCACUUAAGUGCACACGCAUGCACAUAUACACACUGAAUACUAUUGUGUACACCUCUGGUAGAGUAUUUUGCAGUUUACCCCUUUUCACUCAGCAAUAUAUUGAGGAGUGCUAUUCAUGGUAGCCACUCUAUUCUUUUUAACUGCUACGUUGUUCUAUUGCAUCAUGUGGAUGUACCCACCUUUUAUUUGGACCAAAUACACAAAUUAUUUAUCUGCUUUCCCAUUCAUUAUACUUACAGAUCGCUUCUCUUGUGUAAGUUGACAAACCCAGCCAGGUUCACUGCUAUCUUUUGGUAGCUACAACACAUUAUAUCAAAAUCAGCCACUUGCCUUAGAAAUUAUAUCAAACCAGUAGACAGAUUAUGUAAAAUUCGAAGUGUUGUCAGAGGGACCAGAGUUUCCUUUGUCCUCACAGUCUAGAGAAGUGCCCUGUGCUCUGGGAACCCCACAGGGUUGGAUAGUGAGUGAUGCUGACCACCACUCACUCUAUGUCGUGACACAGUGAUCUGGUGUCUGCUCUGCCCACAGCCAGCUGGGUUUCCUUGAGCAGAUCAUUUCUUCUCCCGGGACGUUACUUCUCUUAUCUGCACAAUGGACCCAGUGAGCAGCCUGAAGCUCUUUAGACUGAAUAACUGGGCCUACACACUGCCACCAGGAUUGACAUAAAGAAUGUCCUGUUAGCUCACCCUUCACUACAUGUUGGGGUGGGGAAGGGCAAUUCCUGAUAAAGCUCCAAGCUCCAGCCCAGAGCUCUGAGCUGAGACAAUGUCUCAAAGAGCCCAUGAGUGGCAAGGAAUGUAUUGUCUUCAGAUUUUCCUCCUCUUUCCUACUAUUUUACCAUCCAAUUAAAAUGAAUAUAUAUAUUUUUUCUUUUGCUUAGGUUUGUCUUUGUUCUAAGCAAGGCAGUAUGAUGAUGGGAAAAAAAAGGUUGUGGACACCUGAAUUCUACUUCCAAACUUGUUUAAUUCUAGCUGUGUGUUCUUAGGCGAGUCACUUACCUUCUCUGGGCUUCUGUCUAUUGACAUCACAAUUCCCAAUGAGCCAGGUAUCCACUAAAAUGACACUGAAAAGUUGAAAACCACACUCACUUAUGAGUGAUUCAUUUGGCAUUUGUGAGCCUUGUCACCUGCAAAUAGGUCAUCUCAUGAACUGAUGAGGCAUCCUCAGAGACCAUGAGAGCCCAUGAAACCUUCUUGUUUCACAGGAGAAUUUGCAGCUGUCCUGGCCCCUGGUGACACAUGCUAAGCCCUUCAGGGGCUUCUGAGAGAGGCCCAGAGAAGGUGCUGAGCUGCCAUGAUUCACAGGUGAAGUUUUCUCACCUAGGCCCUGAGGCUUUGUGGUGGAUCCACGGCAAAGGGUAUUCCCCUGCUUUGAGGCUCAGGACCACAGAGGUCACAGGAUCUGAUUCAGAUGCCAGCGGGUUUCCCUAGGGGGCCCAAUGAGGCUUUCCAUGUAGGGCAAGAGUUAUGGCUCCCUGCUGGGUGUUUCACAUGGGUCAGCAGACUCGAUGUGGUUCUGAAGGUGAAAGGUCAGUGUAAAUGGGUGUGAAGCCACGUGGGAGGCAUAGCCCAGCUAAGUGUCUGGGGUUUUGGUUCCCCUAGUCCCAGAACUUUGUUUUUUGCCCCUACUGUGAGUUUCUGUUCCUGAACACCCCUUAGUUAAGUGUUCCCUGGUUGAGCAGGUUUCUACCAAAGGAGACCAAAGCCUGUGGUGCUUUUCCGCUGCUGAGCUCGCUGGGGUAGGUGACUAACCCUCUCCUAGCAUCUGCUUCCUAACCUGCUUGGGCUUCAGCGGGUGAAAUGAGAUUCUGCAAUAGGUGCUCAAUCCACAUUUCUUUUAUUUCCCUUUUCCUGUUUUAUAUGGGAAAAAAACUCAUAAUUUUAUAAGCACUGAAUCUAUAACUGAGCUUCCAAAAACCCACCCUGGGCAUUUUUUCACAUUAACCAAGAUAAACCAAAAAGGCAGUACCACGAAUAGAGAAAAUGUCAUUAGGAAGGUGUACAUGAUAAAUUAGUUUUUUAAAACGGGAAUGGUGAUCGUUUCCAUUUAUCAAGCCUCUCUGCAAAUUUUUCAGCAGCUGCCUUCCUCAUUUUAAUAAAAUGCUUGCAGAUCUGGUUUGCAUUUUUGUAGAUAAAUGUAGAACAAGUCACAUUGACGCUCCCUACAUCUGAUCAUCCUCCCAGCCAUCAAUACCAUUUUCAUUCACAGCCUGGAAACUUUAAGAAAUGAGUCAGCCUGACCUAUGAUUCACAGAUAGUUGAUCUGAAAUGCUUGGUGGUGUGGGGUUGGUGGAUGGGGUAGAAACAAAAAUAAAUUUCCUGACCCUAAAAGUCAGUUCAAGUGAACUAGAAUGGGCAGAGAGGGGUCGUGGGGAUGGUUCCUGCCCUUCAGGAGCUGCACUUCCAAGUCUGACUUAGGGUGAUCACACAUCCAGGCUUGCUGGUGGAGCUUCAGUUUAUGCCUGUGGUCCCAGCCUCUUAAACAGUUAGCGUGCCUGUCCACGAUUAGAAAUGUCACAGGUUGGAAGAUGUAGGGUUCUGAGGAGAGUAGAGUGGCAGUUCUUAAAGGCCAGAGAUAACAUUUAAUCAUGUGUAUCUCCAGUGCCUAGCCUCUUGUAAGAAAUUAAUACAUAAAUGCUUGCUGGGUAGGCGAGUGAGUAAGUGGUUUCUUAACCUCUCCUCCUUGUUCUCUAAAUUAUUUCUCAUUUUUCUUUGCAUGUUUGAAGCACCUGGUGACUCUACUGGGUUCUCAAUAAGUAUAUUUUGAAUAAGCCAGAGGUUCAGAGAUCAGUUUCUUACUUGCUUGUAAGCAACCCCAUGCUAUCUAGCUCUGCGACUUUGAGUGGGUUAGCCCAGAUUAGUUAGAACUUAGUACUAAGAACAGUGGCUUCCACGUAGUAAGUUCCUAAGAAAUGGUAAUGGAGGAGGUGGAGGUGGUGUUAUUGUUAUUAGCCAUCUGGCUUUACUGCCAGUUUUUGUCUUUUCUCCCCCUAACUGUAGGAAUCGUAGACUAUAUAUAUAUUUAAGACCUCAUAUAUAUUUUUAGAAGAUAAGUCAAACAUAAGAAAUUGAAAAAAUGAAUAAAAUAGUUAUCCUAAUCUUGUGCCCUUGGUAACAUACUAUCAAUUAUCAUUAUCAAUGUGCUAUACCCCAUUUAUGUCCGUUUAUACAAGUGUUGACAGGGUCUCACUUUGUUGCCUAGGCUGCCAUGCAGUGGCGCAAACAUGGCUCACUGCAGCCUCAACGUCCUGGGCUCAAGCAAUUCUCCCACCUCAGCACCCCCCGAGUAGCUGGGACUAUAGGCACCAGCCACCACGCUUGGCUAGUUAGGGUUUUUUUGUUUUGUUUUGUUUUGGGGUUUUUUUCUUUUCUUUUCUUUUCUUUUUUUUUUUUUUACAUAGUUGUUAUCUUAAGGUGAUUUCCAAUUUUUUUUCCAUUUACAUUUUUCCACAAGCAUUGUCCACUUUAUUCCGUAACCUUUUCAACUACCAUUUUGAAAUUUGCUUUUAUCCAUGUGGUUGUUUGUGAUGAACUACAGGUUGCUGACUUUCUUCCCCUUCUGUAAAUAAAGUUUUCUUCCUAGUAUGUCCUGUAUCUCAAGAGGAUCUCAUCAGUGGAAUCAUUAGAUCAAAGGAUAUGACUGUUGCUCAGCUCUCUGUGUAUGUAAAUUAAUAGGCUGUUUAUUUGAGCAGUUGUAGGCUUACAAAAAUAUUGAGUCAAAAGUAUAGAAUUCCCAUAUAUUCUCCUCUUCUCCCUUCAUAUCCCCUAUUAUUCGCAUCUUGAAUUAAUAUGGUACUUUUUUUUUACAAUUUAUGAACUAAUAUUGAUACAUUAAGAGUUACUGGAGUCCAUAGUUUACAUUGGGCUUCACUCUUUGUGUUGUAUAGUUCUGUGGGUUUUGACGAAUGCAUAGUGUUGUGUACCUACCAUUAUAAUAUCAUACAAAAUAGUUUCACUGCCCUAAAAUUCCCCUGUGCUUCCCCUAUCUCUCCUCAUUACUCCCUCUCUCCCCCUAACCCCUGGCAACCCACUAAUCUCCAUAGUUUUGUUUUUUCAGAAUCACACAGUUGGAAUCACAUAGGAUGUAGCCUUUUCUUUUUUUCUUUCUUUUUCUGAGAUGGAGUCUCACUCUGUCACCCAGGCUGGAGUGCAGUGGUGCGAUCUCGGCUCACUGCAAGCUCCGCCUCCUGGGUUCAAGCAAUUCUUCUGCCUCAGCCUCCUGAGUAGCUGGGACUACAGACGCCCGCCAACAUGCCUGGCUAAUUUUUUGUAUUUUUAGUAGAGACAGGGUUUCACCAUGGUAGCCAGGAUGGUUUCAAUCUCGUGACCUCGUAAUCCGCCUGCCUCGGCCUCCCAAGGAUGUAGCCUUUUCAGACUGAUUCUUUCACUUAGUAAUAUGCAUUUAAGGUCCCUCCAUGUCUUUUCAUAGCUUAACACCUCAUUCAUUUUUAGUGCUGAAUAAUAUUUCUUUGUCUGGAUGUACCACAGUUUAUUUACCCUGUCACCUACUGAAAGGCAUCUUGGUUGCUUCCAGGUUUUUGGCAAUUAUGCAUAAAGCUGCUAUAAACAUUUGUGUGUAGGUUUUUGUGUGGAUGUAAGUUUUCAGCUUAUUCGGGUAAAUAUCAAGGUGUUCUGUUGCUAGAUCUUAUGGUAAGAAUAUGUUUUGCUUUAUAGAAAACUGCCAAAUUGUCUUCCAAAGUGGCUAUAUCAUUUUGCAUUCACACCAACAAUGAGAGUCCCUGUUGCUCCAAAUCCUCUAGCAGAAUUUGGUAUUCAUGUUCUGGAUUUCAGCAUUCUAAUACGUGUGUAGUGGUAUCUAAUUGUUGCUUUAAUUUGCAUUUCCCUGAUGACAUAUGUUUAUUUGCCAUCUGUAUACCUUCUGUGAUGAGAUGCCUGCUCAGUUCUUUUGCUCAUGUUUUAACUGGGUUGCUCAUUUCCCUAUUCUUGAGUUUUAAGAGUUCUUUGUACACUUUGUAUAAAAUUCCUUUAAGUGACAUGUCUUGUGCAAAUAUUUUCUCCCAGUCAAUGCCUUGUCUUUUCAUUCUCUUUAUAGUGUCUUUGCAGAUCAGAAGUUUUUAAUUUUAAUGGAUCCAGGUCAUCAAUUAGUUUUUUCAUAGAUUGUGGCUUUGGUGUUGUAUCUAAAAAGUUAUUGUCAUACUCGAGGUCAUCUAGGAUUGUCUCCUUUGUUAUCUUCUGAGAGUUUUAUCAUUUUAAAUUUACUUUUAGGUCUAUGAUGCAUUUUGAGGUAAUUUUUGUGAAGGGUUUAAGAUCUAUAUUUAGAUUCUUUUUUUGCAAAUGAAUGUCUGGUUGUUUCAGCACCAUUUGUUGAAAAAAAUUAUCUUUCCUCCAUUGCAAUGUCUUUGCUCCUUUGUCAAAGGUCAGUUGACUAUAUAUAUGUGGGUCUGUUUCCAGGCUGUCUGUUCUGUUCCAUUGAUCUGCUUGUUUAUUCUUUUGCCAAUACCACGCCAUCUUGAUGACCAUAGCUUUAUAGGAAGUGUUGGAGUUGAGUAGUGUCAGUCCUCCAGCUUGUGUGUUCUUUUCCUGCAGUAUUGUGUCAGCUAUUCUGGGUCUUCUGCCUCGCUAUAAAAGAAUCAGCUUGUAGAUAUCCACAAAAUAACUUGCUGGGAUUUUGACAUACCACAGAUUGUUUAUCUAUUCACUUAUUGAAGGACAUCUUAGUUGCUUCCAAUUUUUGGCAACUACAAGUAAAGGUGCUACAGACAUUCGUACAUAGUUUUUUGUGGGAAGAGGAAACCUACUCAUUUGGGUAGACACCAAGGAGCGCAAUUAUUGGAUCACAUGGUGAGACUAUGUUUACCUCAUUAGGAAACUGCCAUAGCUAUAUGUUUUUUGCAUUUGUUCAGAGAUUUUUCGUUACAAUGUCACUAACAUUGUAACAGAAUAAACCUUUGGGUUGGGGAUUAUUAGCCUUGCCUUCUGGCUAAUGUUAUUAAAUGUUAUUGCUGAAAGAAACCCUGAAGGUUCCUAAGCCUCUAAGCUUUCCGAGUGUGAGAUCCGCAUCCCCUAUCACUGCUCUUCUAUGGCUUCCAUGGCACCGUGAGUAUAAUAGUUGCUGAAUACCAAUAAUGGAAAAACCACUCCACCAUACAGAUGAAAACACAAAGGUCCCAAAACGAGAAAUGAGAUACUUCUGGCCAAACGGCAUUUUACUAGUAACAGAACCAAGGCUAAAAGUAAACUAUUGUGCCUUGUAGAUCCGUAGACCUGUAUUUUGAGCCACCAGUCCUUGACUCACUACAUUCAAGCAAGACAAGCUGGAAGAUUCUUAAAUCUGUAGUUAGUAUUGUAUUGAACACCCCGCCUCACUUUCAGGCCUACCCACUACUGACUGCCAUUACCAGAUUGCCCAAAGACGCCCAAAAUGGUGUUCUAAUCUGAGUAGAAGGCCACUGUAGCUACAAAGUCUCAUAGGGUAACGAGUGAUAAUAGUAGUGACAACAAUAAUAAAAAUAGCCAAGAAUUAUUGAUUGCUUAGUAUUGUCAGGGUCUUUGCAUAUAUUAUUUCAUUUUACAUUCAUAGGUGCCCCUUGGUUCAGCAUCAUUACUAGCCACAAUUUGGAGAUAAAUAGAUUGAGCUUUAGGGAGGUUAAGUAACUUGUUCGGGGUGCUACAACUUUCAGUGGUAAAGCCACAUGUGUGUCCAUCCAUUCUCGACUCCACUUAGCAAUGUACUACUUUACAGUUAAAAUAAUGAGAUUUAGAGUUAGAUGGACCUGCAUUAGUAUUCUGUAGCUGCCAUAUUGUCAGUCAUGUGAUCUUAACCUUGUGACUUCUAGCUGCAAUGUUCCCAUCAUGGGGUAGCAACAUCCAUGGCAGACGCUGUCUCUUGUUACCUCAAAACCAUUGCCUCCCACUGUACAGAACAUCAAUAUGUUCAAAGGGUUGGCAGGAGGCACCGAGUCUCAGGGAAGUCAGACUCUUAUCCCAACCUGGUGACUGGUUUAAACUAGAUAUGGUAAUGGCAGGCAAGUUACCCAGUCUUGUUAGGAACAGGAUGCUGAGGAGGGAGUCUCUUCUCAAAUGAAAAGGCAAAGCCCCUUGCAAAGGAAGCUUAUUACUCUUUUCCUUUCUUCCUCCCUAGAUCUUGGACAUGAUACCUGGAUGUGCAGCAGCCAUCUUGUAAUUAUGAGGUGACAAGUCAAUAGACUGAGAUGGUGGAGCAGCAAAGAUAGAAAAGAUCUGGAUUUUUUAUAGCAUUGUUGAACUGUUCCAUCAGCCUAAGACAGAUGACCAUCUCCAGACUUCUUGUUAUGUACAACAUGUCCUGUUGUUUAAGUCACUCUAACUUGGAUUGUUUCUUAUUUUCAGCUGAAAUUAUUUCUAAUAGAUAUACAGAUUUCCAAAAAAGCACAGUGUAGAGCAGCUUAACAUGGUACCUAUGUGCCAAAGUUCCAGAGCAAGAGUUCCUGGGUUCUAAUCUGGGCUCUGUGGUGUGACUUUAGACAAGUCACUUAGCUUCUCUGUGACUCGCUUUUCUCAUGUAUAAAAUGCUCGGUAACUGUGUAUUGACUGUUGAAUAAAGGAUAAUAGUGAUACUGAAUUCAUAUGAUUGUUAGGAUCAUUGAAUGGCUAAACAUUUUAUAAAAUGAUUAGAACAUUGCUUGGCGCAUUGUAAUUGGCUGCAGAUGUGCUUGUCAAAGUAAAAUUAAAAGAAAAGUAGUCACUAUUAUAGGCCUGGGUUUGCAUCUUGAUCCCAUCAUUGGGCCACUUGUGGUAUUUAAGCAGAACCUUCACCCUUUCACUACUGAGGCUCAUAGAGCAUGAAACUCCCUCUAAAAUCUGUCUCAAAGCAGCCACAGUGGUGGUUUCUUUUUGACAAAAAAAGGCUCCUUAGAGAACGUUGGCUUGCAAAGGAGAGGCUGUGACUACCAAGUCGUGUCAACAACUGAAUGGCUGAAAUACCCAAACUUGCCCAUGCAAAUGGGCUUGGGUCUCUCCUGGCAGCCCCCUUUGAAGGCUCUAGACUUAUCUGUGAACUCCUUUUUUGAGAGGGUCUUUCCAACUAGUGGUUUAUUCUUUGACUCUCCUCAUACCUUUUUUGCCAGAGAGUGAGAGUGAGAAGGAAGGGCUAAUGCCUGAGCUCCUGCCCUUUCUAUGCAGUGAGGGUCAAGAUCCUCAGCUAGUGUUUGAGGGAACUGGUAUAACCUGGGUCUCUCAUUUUCUACCAUCCAAGUUGCCACCUCUGUCGGGGUCCCACUCUAAUUUGGGCAGCCACUAAGCAAUAUUUUGAAAUAUACCUUGUUCAUGGGUUUAAAGGAUCAACUGGUAGGUGUGUCUAUUAGCAAAUCCUAUGGAACAAAUAUCUGUUCUUUUUACCCCCUACUUACCUUCUCCACCAAGGACAGUUCAGACAAAGUUGUCACCACCUUUAGCCUGAUUUACUGCAGGAGCCUCCUAAUCUGUCUUCCUGUUUCUACUCUAUCCUUUAUCCCCCCUUGGCAGCCAGGGGAUCCUUUAAAAAUGUGAACCAAAGCAUGAGACUAAACCACUCAAAAUCUUCCCAUGGAUCUCAUCUCAGAUUAAAAUCCUAAGUGCCUUCUCUGUCCUUAGUGAACCCCAGGUGCACCCUUCCUCUGCCACUUUCCACCUUGUUUAUUCUACUUUCCACACUGGCCUCCUUGCUGUGGGCCAGACAUAUCUGAGACCAGUGUGGCUUCAGGGCUUUUGCACAUACAAUUUUCCUUUUCUGGAACACUCUCUCUUCCUUGCACAUCUGCCUGGCUCUCUGCUCAGAUGUCAACUCUCAGAGAGGCCUUUUCUGACCACUCCCUCUAAAAGAGUUUCCCCCGCCCUUCAUUUCCUAUCAUUAUCUGUAGUACUGAUGACUUGUGGAUGUUAUUACAAAUUUGGUUAUUUUUUGCAUCCUCCAGCAAAAUGUAAGCCAAGUGAAGAAUGAGGUAUUGUUUUGUUCAUCAAGGAAUCCACAGAAACCAGAACAUUCUGUAGCAGGUGAUCACUAAAUAUUUGCUAAACUACAAAAAGCCAUUUUAGGUUAGAAAUAAGGUAUAGCUGACAGAAUUCUAAGCCUGAUGUUUCUUAUGAGCCUACUAAAUUGGCCCUGAAACCACUUCCCAGAAAGCUCUAGAUAUGUUCUGAAUAAUGGGAGCAAUGCUGGACCAGUGUUUGAGGUUCCAAAGUGAAUACAUGAGAGUGAAAAUGAAGCUACAUGUGACUGGAUGAACCUCUUGCAUUUGUUUAAAAAUCCUCUUCGUCAUGAUUAGCUCAUGCUCUCUUUUUCUUGCUUUGCUCCUAGGCACCAGACAAGUCAUUCCAAAUAUGGGGUCUUGGUACCAGUCAGAACGAAGUUCCCAUCUGUGGUGGUUUAAAAACAAAAUGACCUUGUUCCUUGAUAUUCUUUCCAUUGAAAGAUGGGAUAUAUGACUUUUCCUUGAGUCUGUGCAGGCUUGUGACUGCUUUAUGCAGCUCCUGCCUGGUUUUCUGAGCAUAAUUAUUCCGGGGAAAGCACUGGGACUGUCGAGCCGAAGAGGUCCCUGGUGGGUGCUCUUGUUUGUAGCCUCAGCUGAGCUCCCAGCAUCAGCCAGCAACCCUGAGAGCCGCCAUCUUGGAUGCACCUGUAGGCCCUCUGCACCUUCAAAACUCCGCGGCCCGGCUGACAUCUGACCACAAGGGCAUGGAAAACUCCAAAAUUGUCGUAAUGCAGCGUCUUUGCUUAUGUUGCACAGUCAGUGCCCAAUAUUGUUUACUGUUAUGUGAUUGGCAAUUGUGGAGCAUCUUUGUGCAUUAUCUCAGUCUUCAACAGCCCUCUGAGAGUAGAUGCUGUGCACGACUUCAGUCCUUUGAAAGUGGUUGAGGUUAUUUUAUGGCUCAGUGUCCUGUGACGAAUGUUGCAUGUGCACCUGAAAAGAAUGCGUCCUCUGCAGUUUGGGGAUGGAGUGUUCCAUAAAUAUCAACUGUGAAAGGUCCAGUACUCAGCUGGUAUAGACUCACUGUUCAAGAAAAACUUGUUCUUUCAUUUAUUGCCAUGAUUACCAGAUAAACCCACAAGCAAGAGGCUAUUUUGCUAGUUGUGUAGACCAGCGGUUUCGGGAGAGAAUGUAGUCUUUACUCUGCAGUGAGCUCAGAGGAGGAGAGAGGGAAAAAGUCCAUGUGGGUGAGAAGGCACUGCCAGGCCCUGACCCCAGGAGGCAGGUGCUGUGCCAACUUGUCCUCCAUGUGGCCCAAAUAAGAAGAAAAGGCCAAGAACUCUAAACAGAUCACUGAGGCCAGGGGAAAAUAUCUUGAGAUUUGCUGGAGGGAGGGAAAUUUACCCAUGGAAAUGAGAGAAGUUAUGUGUGGUAAGACCCCUUCUCAUCUCAAGCACAGCCAAAACUGAUCUGAUCAGAGACCUACUGUCUUAGUCCAUUUUGGCUGCUACAACAGAAUACUGUAAGACUAAGUUUACUUCUCAUAGUUCUAGAGGUUUGGAAGUCCAAGAUCAAGGUGCUGACAGAUUCUGUGUCUGGUGAAGGCCCAGUUCCUCAUUCAUAAAUGAUUGCUUUUUUGCAGUGUACUAAUGUGAAGGAAGGGGCAGGAGAGCUCUCUGAGGUCGCUUAUAUAAUGGUACUAAUCUCAGUCAUGAGGGGUCCACUGUCAUGACCAUCACCCCCCAAUAAUGGUACUAAUCCCAAUCAUGAGGAGGGCUCCACUGUCAUGACCAUCACCCGCAAAAGGCCCCACCUCCCAAUACCAUUACCCUGGAGGUUAGAAUUUCAGCAUAUGAAUUUUGGGAGGACACAAAUGUUCAGUCUAUAACUGGGAUGCAAGGAUUCAACAUUGCCCCUGCCCUUCUGGAAUUUGCAGGCCAUGAGGGCGUACAGAUAAUUAAACACACAAUUACGCAUAGCAGGGUGGGGGGGGGGGUCAUAAUUGGAAAAGUAUGUUGAGAUUAGAAGAAAAUCAUUCUUUCUUUGUUUCUCCCUCUCUCUUUCUCUGUUACACAUAUUUGCAGACAAACCAGGAGGAUUUCCACAGGGAAGCUGAAAGGGGAAAACAACCGGAUCCUAUCUAUAAGCCUAUUAGAAACCGUUAGAAAAUGAUUUCAUGAAGAGUAAGGAACAUGUUUGGGUAACUCCACAGAAGACUGUCUUCACCUGCCUUUGGUUGCCCUGGUGCUCUGCAGUGCCCGGCAGGGCUGAGAUGAUUAUACAACCUGCACUCCGGGCCAAGUCUGGUACUCGUCCCAGCUGUCCGCUAAGCCUGCACUGCUAUGGAAGGACAGAAUAACAGGCUCCCAGAUUCACAAGCCCCACCAAGAGGAUCACCCCAGGAAUGCCUGGAGGCUGAGGAGUUCACUGAGGCUACUGCAUCUUGAGACUCAGGAUGAAGACCCAGCUUGGGGCUGUCAAAGGUUUUUUGCAUGUCUGACACCCAUGACUCCACCUGGACCUGAUGGCUCCACCCAGAAGCAAUUCAGCCCAACAGGAGGACAGCUUCAACCCAUUACGAUUUCAUCUCUGCCCCAACCACUCAGCAGCAAGCACCUGUUACCUGUCCACCCCCACCCCUUCCCCCAAACUGCCUUUGAAAAAAUCCCUAACCUAUGAGCUUUGAAUAAGAUGAGUACGAACUCCAUCGCCCACGUGGUGUGGCCGGCUUCGUGUCUAUUAAAUUCUUUUUCUACUACAA